rnacentral:rRNA from 1 species
UACGUAGGGUGCAGGCGUUAAUCGGAAUUACUGGGCGUAAAGCGUGCGCAGGCGGUUUGCUAAGACAGGUGUGAAAUCCCCGGGCUUAACCUGGGAAUGGCGAUGGAUACUGGCUCGCUAGAGUGCGGUAGAGGAGAGUGGAAUUCCCGGUGUAGCAGUGAAAUGCGUAGAGAUCGGGAGGAACAUCAGUUGCGAAGGCGGCUCUCUGGACCAGCACUGACACUGAGGCACGAAAGCGUGGGGAGCAAACAGG